rnacentral:rRNA from 1 species
UACAGAGGGUGCAAGCGUUGUCCGGAAUUAUUGGGCGUAAAGAGCUCGUAGGCGGUUCGUCGCGUCGGCUGUGAAAUCCCGGAGCUCAACUCCGGGUCUGCAGUCGAUACGGGCGGACUUGAGUACUGCAGGGGAGACUGGAAUUCCUGGUGUAGCGGUGAAAUGCGCAGAUAUCAGGAGGAACACCGGUGGCGAAGGCGGGUCUCUGGGCAGUAACUGACGCUGAGGAGCGAAAGCGUGGGGAGCGAACAGG